GACGUAGGGGGCGAGCGUUGUUCGGAAUUACUGGGCGUAAAGAGCUCGUAGGCGGGCGAAUAAGUCUUGCAACAAAGACUGCAGCUCAACUGCAGGAAGUUGUGGGAUACUGUUUGUCUUGAGAACAGGAGAGGGGAGUGGAAUUCCUAGUGUAGCGGUGAAAUGCGUAGAUAUUAGGAGGAACACCAGUGGCGAAGGCGACUCUCUGGCCUGUUUCUGACGCUGAGGAGCGAAAGCUGGGGGAGCGAACGGG
rnacentral:rRNA from 1 species